rnacentral:lncRNA from 1 species
GCCGGUUUUAAAGUGGCGGACAGGACCCAUUUCAAAAUGGUUCAAACUUGCCGUAGAUCCCCUUUUCCAUUUUGCCUGCGAAUUUCUUUUUCCCUUUGCCUACGAUUUCUCUCAGCCAUACCCAUAUUUUCUUGCCAAGAGGUUGAACUAUCCAACGAAGUGUUGACUUCUUUGCUGAUUUGUUACAAAAACCGGGGCAUUUUGUUACAGAAAUCGGGGGCAUUGCUUCGCUGAUUUCUCUCGAUUUCUUUUUGUCACGGCAUUUCUUGAACUACCCAAUAGAGGGGUUAAUUUUGGAAGCAAACAAGAAGUUAAAAUCUGGUUCGAUUCGAAGAGAUGACGGGCAAAGGUAUUCCCCUUCCUCAUUUUAGUUUGAUACUGGUGGGUGGAAACAUGAGCAUGAUGAAUUAGCUUGAUUCAUUAUUGUACAUUGCAAGUUCAAUUUUUCCUGACAAGCGAACUUCCUUGAGUGCUGUAAAAUAGGUUAUUUUUGUUGUACAUAGCAAGUUCAAUUAUUGUACACAGCACUUAUGAUGAAUUAGAAAAUCUUUUGAGGCCAUGAUCAUAUCUAUUAAAUAGUUG